rnacentral:rRNA from 1 species
CCGGCGCACGGGUGAGUAACACGUAUCCAACCUGCCGUCUACUCUUGGACAGCCUUCUGAAAGGAAGAUUAAUACAAGAUGGCAUCAUGAGUUCACAUGUUCACAUGAUUAAAGGUAUUCCGGUAGACGAUGGGGAUGCGUUCCAUUAGAUAGUAGGCGGGGUAACGGCCCACCUAGUCUUCGAUGGGUAGGGGUUCUGAGAGGAAGGUCCCCCACAUUGGAACUGAGACACGGUCCAA